rnacentral:rRNA from 1 species
UACGGAGGGUGCAAGCGUUAUCCGGAUUUACUGGGUUUAAAGGGUGCGUAGGUGGGUCUGUAAGUCAGUGGUGAAAUCUCCGAACUUAACUCGGAAACUGCCAUUGAUACUAUAGAUCUUGAAUUAUCUGGAGGUGAGCGGAAUAUGUCAUGUAGCGGUGAAAUGCUUAGAUAUGACAUAGAACACCAAUUGCGAAGGCAGCUCACUACGGAUUGAUUGACACUGAGGCACGAGAGCGUGGGGAUCAAACAGG